GACGAACGCUGGCGGCGUGCUUAACACAUGCGAGUCGAACGGAAAGGCCUCUUUCGGGGGGUACUCGAGUGGCGAACGGGUGAGUAACACGUGAGUAACCUGCCCUUGACUUUGGGAUAACUUCAGGAAACUGGGGCUAAUACCGGAUAGGAGCUCCUGCUGCAUGGUGGGGGUUGGAAAGUUUCGGCGGUUGGGGAUGGACUCGCGGCUUAUCAGCUUGUUGGUGGGGUAGUGGCUUACCAAGGCUUUGACGGGUAGCCGGCCUGAGAGGGUGACCGGCCACAUUGGGACUGAGAUACGGCCCAGACUCCUACGGGAGGCAGCAGUGUGGAAUAUUGCACAAUGGGUGGAAGCCUGAUGCAGCAACGCCGUGUGCGGGAUGACGGCCUUCGGGUUGUAAACCGCUUUCGCUCAUGACGAAGCUUUGUGUGACGGUAGUGGGUAAAGAAGCACCGGCUAACUACGUG
rnacentral:rRNA from 1 species